CGCUGCUUUACCAUGCAGUCGAACGGUAACAGGUCUUCGGAUGCUGACGAGUGGCGAACGGGUGAGUAAUACAUCGGAACGUGCCUAGUAGUGGGGGAUAACUACUCGAAAGAGUAGCUAAUACCGCAUGAGAUCUAAGGAUGAAAGCAGGGGACCUUCGGGCCUUGCGCUACUAGAGCGGCUGAUGGCAGAUUAGGUAGUUGGUGGGAUAAAAGCUUACCAAGCCGACGAUCUGUAGCUGGUCUGAGAGGACGACCAGCCACACUGGAACUGAGACACGGUCCAGACUCCUACGGGAGGCAGCAGUGGGGAAUUUUGGACAAUGGGCGAAAGCCUGAUCCAGCAAUGCCGCGUGUAGGAUGAAGGCCCUCGGGUUGUAAACUACUUUUGUACGGAACGAAAAGACACCUUCUAAUACAGGGUGUCGAUGACGGUACCGUAAGAAUAAGCACCGGCUAACUACGUGCCAGCAGCCGCGGUAAUACGUAGGGUGCAAGCGUUAAUCGGAAUUACUGGGCGUAAAGCGUGCGCAGGCGGUUAUGUAAGACAGAGGUGAAAUCCCCGGGCUCAACCUGGGAACGGCCUUUGUGACUGCAUAGCUNGAGUACGGUAGAGGGGGAUGGAAUUCCGCGUGUAGCANUGAAAUGCGUAGAUAUGCGGAGGAACACCGAUGGCGAAGGCAUCCCCUGGACCUGUACUGACGCUCAUGCA
rnacentral:rRNA from 1 species